UCUGGUGUCCAUAGCGUCUUGGUACCACCCCUUCCCAUCCCGAACAGGACCGUGAAACGAGACCGCGCCGAUGAUAGUGCACUUCACCGUGUGCGAAAGUAGGUCAACGCCAGAC
rnacentral:rRNA from 1 species